rnacentral:rRNA from 1 species
AGAGUUUGAUCAUGGCUCAGAACGUACGCUGGCGGCACGCCUUAUACAUGCAAGUCGAACGAAGUAGCAAUACUUAGUGGCAGACGGGUGAGUAACAUGUGGGUAUCUGCCCUUUGGCCUGGAAUAACACGAGGAAACUUGUGCUAAUACUGGAUAAGUCUUUACGGAGAAAGCUUUAUGCACCAUUGGAUGAGCCCGCACUUGAUUAGUUUGUUGGUGGGGUAAUGGCCUACCAAGACUUUGAUCAAUAGCUGAUUUGAGAGGAUGAUCAGCCACAUUGGGACUGAGACACGGCCCAAACUCCUACGGGAGGCAGCAGUGGGGAAUCUUGCACAAUGGAGGAAACUCUGAUGCAGCGAUGCCGCGUGAGUGAAGAAGGCCCUUGGGUUGUAAAGCUCUUUCGUCGGGGAAGAAAAUGACUGUACCCGAAUAAGAAGGUCCGGCUAACUUCGUGCCAGCAGCCGCGGUAAUACGAAGGGACCUAGCGUAGAUCGGAAUUACUGGGCUUAAAGAGUUCGUAGGUGGUUGAAAAAGUUGGUGGUGAAAUCCCAGAGCUUAACUCUGGAACUGCCAUCAAAACUUUUCAGCUAGAGUUUGAUAGAGGAAAGCAGAAUUUCUAGUGUAGAGGUGAAAUUCGUAGAUAUUAGAAAGAAUACCAAUUGCGAAGGCAGCUUUCUGGAUCAUUACUGACACUGAGGAACGAAAGCAUGGGUAGCGAAGAGGAUUAGAUACCCUCGUAGUCCAUGCCGUAAACGAUGUGUGUUAGACGUUGGAAAUUUAUUUUCAGUGUCGCAGCGAAAGCGAUAAACACACCGCCUGGGGAGUACGACCGCAAGGUUAAAACUCAAAUGAAUUGACGGGGACCCGCACAAGUAGUGGAGCAUGGUG